GACGAACGCUGGCGGCGUGCUUAACACAUGCAAGUCGAGCGGUAAGGCCUUUCGUGGUACACGAGCGGCGGACGGGUGAGUAACACGUGGGUGAUCUUCCCUUCACUUCGGGUUAAGCCUGGGUUACUGGGUCUAAUACCGAAUAUGACCUCCUAUCCCAUGUUGGGUGGUGGGAAGGUUUAUCGGUGCAGGAUGGGCCCGCGGCCUAUCAGCUUGUUGGUGGGGUAGUGGCCUACCAAGGCGACGACGGGUAGCCGACCUGAGAGGGUGACCGGCCACACUGGGACUGAGACAAGGCCCAGACUCCUACGGGAGGCAGCAGUGGGGAAUAUUGCACAAUGGGCGGAAGCCUGAUGCAGCAACGCCGCGUGAGGGAUGACGGCCUUCGGGUUGUAAACCGCUUUCAGCAGGGACGAAGCGCGAGUGACGGUAACUGCAGAAGAAGCACCGGCUAACUACGUG
rnacentral:rRNA from 1 species